rnacentral:rRNA from 1 species
UACGGAAGGCAGCAGUGGGGAAUAUUGCACAAUGGGCGCAAGCCUGAUGCAGCCAUGCCGCGUGUAUGAAGAAGGCCUUCGGGUUGUAAAGUACUUUCAGUCGUGAGGAAGGUGUUAAGGUUAAUAACCUUAGCAAUUGACGUUAGCGACAGAAGAAGCACCGGCUAACUCCGUGCCAGCAGCCGCGGUAAUACGGAGGGUGCGAGCGUUAAUCGGAAUUACUGGGCGUAAAGGGCACGCAGGCGGUUAAUUAAGUUGGAUGUGAAAUCCCCGGGCUUAACCUGGGAAUGGCAUUCAAGACUGGUUAGCUAGAGUCUUGUAGAGGGGGUAGAAUUCCAUGUGUAGCGGUGAAAUGCGUAGAGAUGUGGAGGAAUACCGGUGGCGAAGGCGGCCCCUGGGACAAAGGACUGACGCUCAUGUGCGAAAGCGUGGGGAGCGAAACGAGGGAUUAGAUACC